AGUGAACGCUGGCGGUAGGCCUAACACAUGCAAGUCGAACGGCAGCACAGUAAGAGCUUGCUCUUACGGGUGGCGAGUGGCGGACGGGUGAGGAAUACAUCGGAAUCUACUUUUUCGUGGGGGAUAACGUAGGGAAACUUACGCUAAUACCGCAUACGACCUACGGGUGAAAGCAGGGGAUCUUCGGACCUUGCGCGAUUGAAUGAGCCGAUGUCGGAUUAGCUAGUUGGCGGGGUAAAGGCCCACCAAGGCGACGAUCCGUAGCUGGUCUGAGAGGAUGAUCAGCCACACUGGAACUGAGACACGGUCCAGACUCCUACAGGAGGCAGCAGUGGGGAAUAUUGGACAAUGGGGGCAAGCCUGAUCCAGCCAUACCGCGUGGGUGAAGAAGGCCUUCGGGUUGUAAAGCCCUUUUGUUGGGAAAGAAAAGCAGCAGGUUAAUACCCCGCUGUUCUGACGGUACCCAAAGAAUAAGCACCGGCUAACUUCGUG
rnacentral:rRNA from 1 species